rnacentral:rRNA from 1 species
UACGUAGGAUCCGAGCGUUGUCCGGAAUUACUGGGCAUAAAGGGAGCGUAGGCGGAUUUGUGCGUCAGAGGUGAAAUCCCACGGCUUAACCGUGGAACUGCCUUUGAUACGGCAAGUCUUGAGUAUGAGAGAGGCGAGUAGAAUUCCAGGUGUAGCGGUGAAAUGCGUAGAUAUCUGGAGGAAUACCAGUGGUGAAGACGGCUCGCUGGCUCAUAACUGACGCUGAGGCUCGAAAGCGUGGGGAU